rnacentral:rRNA from 1 species
CCUACGGGAGGCAGCAGUGAGGAAUAUUGGUCAAUGGACGCAAGUCUGAACCAGCCAUGCCGAGUGCAGGAAGACGGCUCUAUGAGUUGUAAACUGCUGUUGUAAGAGGGGAAACGAAGAUACGCGGAUCUGUCGGAAAGGAACGAACGAAUAAGGAUCGGCUAACUCCGUGCCAGCAGCCGCGGUAAUCCGGAGGAUUCCAGCCUUAUCCGGAUUUCUUGGGUUUAAAGGGUGCGUAGGCGGUCGGAUAUGUUAGAGCUGAAAUCCCGAGGCUCAACUUCGGAAUUGCCUCUGAUACUGUUCGGCUAGAGAGUAGUUGCGGUAGGCGGAAUGUAUGGUGUAGCGGUGAAAUGCUUAGAGAUCAUACAGAACACCGAUUGCGAAGGCAGCUUACCAAGCUACUUCUGACGUUGAGGCACUAAAGCGUGGGGAGCAAACAGGAUUAGAUACCCCAGUAGUG